rnacentral:rRNA from 1 species
UCGGGAAUUUUGGGCAAUGGGGGAAACCCUGACCCAGCAACGCCGCGUGAAGGAUGAAGUAUUUCGGUAUGUAAACUUCGAAAGAAUAGGAAGAAUAAAUGACGGUACUAUUUAUAAGGUCCGGCUAACUACGUGCCAGCAGCCGCGGUAAUACGUAGGGACCAAGCGUUGUUCGGAUUUACUGGGCGUAAAGGGCGCGUAGGCGGCAUGACAAGUCACUUGUGAAAUCUCUGGGCUUAACCCAGAACGGCCAAGUGAUACUGUCGCGCUAGAGUGCAGAAGGGGCAAUCGGAAUUCUUGGUGUAGCGGUGAAAUGCGUAGAUAUCAAGAGGAACACCUGAGGUGAAGACGGGUUGCUGGGCUGACACUGACGCUGAGGCGCGAAAGCCAGGGGGAGCAAACGGGAUUAGAUACCUCCGUAGUCCCUGAGCGGGCUGGCAAGGCGCAU